CCUGCAAGACUUUACGGCUGCGUCGAAGUUGGGAACACGCUGUCCCCUGUAACCCUACGAUGAAUGGCCGCGUGGGGAGCCGCACGUAGCUCCCUUGCCGAUCGUUCCGGUGCAGUGGUGCUCCCCCUCACCUUGGGGAGCCGAAACUCCGCCGGCCGGACUACGUGGACAUGGCUGCUGGAUGAGGCAGCAUACUCACCUUUGACCGCAGAAUCGUGAGCCAGGAACGCUGCCGUCACCUGCCUGCACAUGUGGAGGAUGAAGAAAACCAGCACUACGACCCUUCUCCUGAAUGACCCCCCAAGGAUGGACAGAAGAAUAUUAGACCUCAGCUUGGAGAUCAUCUCCCUGCUGAGCGGAGAGGAGUACACAAUAGUUAAGAAGACAUCGGGGGACUGUGUGACUCCCAUCAU